ensembl:lncRNA
CCUACAGCCUAGAGAGACCAGUGGGACAAAUACCUGGAGAGCUACUCUGGAGGAGCCCUGUAGGACACCAACUGGACCAGGUUCGACGCGGUCACCCAUAACUGCUACACCUACUGCCUGGGCUUCAUCAACCGGGUCCUGGAGGUCGAAGGUCGCGGGCCCCUGACCCCGGAGCAGUUCACCGAGCGCUACGUCUUGCCACGCACCACCAGGGCGCACAGGUUCAACGGCCUCCUUCAGGUCCUCAAGAAGAAGCCCUACCACCUGCUGGAGAGACAGACGGGUAGCGAGAGAGGCAGCCUGGCAGGGAGCGACACAGGCAGCCAGGUCAAGAGUGAGACAGGCAAGUAGAGAGAGAGAGACUGGUAGCGAGAGAGAGACAGGCAAAGAGAGAGAGAGACUGGUAGCGAGAGAGAGACAGGCAAGUAGAGAGAGAGAGAGACUGGUAGUGAGAGAGAGACAGGCAAGUAGAGAGAGAGAGACAGGUAGUGAGAGAGAGACAGGCAAGUAGAGAGAGAGAGACGGGUAGUGAGAGAGAGACAGGCUUUUAGAG